UCCGAAUGGGGAAACCCACUGCUUCGGCAGUAUCCUGCAGUGAAUUCAUAGCUGCUGGAAGCGAACCCGGUGAACUGAAAUAUCUAAGUAACCGGAGGAAAAGAAAUCAACCGAGAUUCCCUAAGUAGUGACGAGCGAACGGGGAGCAGCCCUUAAGCUGGAAUGGCUUUAGAAAAACAAUCUGGAAAGAUUGGCCAUAGAAGGUGAUAGCCCUGUAUUUAAAAGGGCCACUCCAGUGAAGACGAGUAGGGCGGGGCACGUGAAACCCUGUCUGAAUAUGGGGGGACCAUCCUCCAAGGCUAAAUACUCCUGACCGACCGAUAGUGAACCAGUACCGUGAGGGAAAGGCGAAAAGAACCCCGGAGAGGGGAGUGAAAUAGAUCCUGAAACCGUGUGCGUACAAGCAGUAGGAGCUCGCAAGAGUGACUGCGUACCUUUUGUAUAAUGGGUCAGCGACUUACUGUUCGUGGCAAGCUUAACCGUAUAGGGGAGGCGAAGGGAAACCGAGUCUGAUAAGGGCGCAUAGUCGCGGGCAGUAGACCCGAAACCGGGUGAUCUAGUCAUGGCCAGGGUGAAGGUGCCGUAACAGGUACUGGAGGCCCGAACCCACGUCUGUUGCAAAAGACGGGGAUGAGCUGUGAUUAGGAGUGAAAAGCUAAUCGAACCCGGAGAUAGCUGGUUCUCCUCGAAAGCUAUUUAGGUAGCGCCUCAUAUGUAUCCUCUCGGGGGUAGAGCACUGUUAUGGCUAGGGGGUCAUCGCGACUUACCAAACCAUUGCAAACUCCGAAUACCGAGACGGACUGUAUGGGAGACACACGGCGGGUGCUAACGUCCGUCGUGAAAAGGGAAACAACCCAGACCCACAGCUAAGGUCCCAAAUUCACUGCUAAGUGGAAAACGAUGUGGAAAGGCAUAGACAGCCAGGAGGUUGGCUUAGAAGCAGCCACCCUUUAAAGAAAGCGUAAUAGCUCACUGGUCGAGUCGGUCUGCGCGGAAGAUUUAACGGGGCUAAGCAGUGAACCGAAGCUUGGGGUGCAUAAAACUUGUUUUAUGCGCGGUAGAGGAGCGUUCCGUAAGCCUGCGAAGGUGGAUUGAGAAGUCUGCUGGAGGUAUCGGAAGUGCGAAUGCUGACAUGAGUAACGAUAAUGCGGGUGAAAAGCCCGCACGCCGAAAGCCCAAGGUUUCCUUGCGCAACGUUAAUCGACGCAGGGUUAGUCGGUCCCUAAGGCGAGGGCGAAAGCCGUAGUCGAUGGGAAGCAGGUUAAUAUUCCUGCACCUCGCGUGAGUGCGAUGGAGGGACGGAGAAGGUUAGGUGUACCGGGCGUUGGUUGUCCCGGGGAAAGGCGGUAGGUUUGGAUCUUUGGCAAAUCCGGGAUCCUUUAAGACCGAGCACCGAGACGAGCCUUUAUGGCAAAGUCACUGAUACCACGCUUCCAGGAAAAGCUCCUAAGCUUCAGCUCACGAAGACCGUACCGUAAACCGACACAGGUGGGUAGGAUGAGAAUUCUCAGGCGCUUGAGAGAACUCGGGUGAAGGAACUAGGCAACAUGGCACCGUAACUUCGGGAGAAGGUGCACCCUUUUUGGUGGCUCGUGCGAGCUAUAGCUGAAGAGGGUCGCAGAAACCAGGCCGCUGCGACUGUUUAUCAAAAACACAGCACUCUGCAAACACGAAAGUGGACGUAUAGGGUGUGACGCCUGCCCGGUGCUGGAAGGUUAAUUGAUGGGGUCAGCCGCAAGGCGAAGCUCUUGAUCGAAGCCCCAGUAAACGGCGGCCGUAACUAUAACGGUCCUAAGGUAGCGAAAUUCCUUGUCGGGUAAGUUCCGACCUGCACGAAUGGCGUAACGACAGCGGCGCUGUCUCCACCCGAGACUCAGUGAAAUUGAAAUCGCUGUGAAGAUGCAGCGUUCCCGUGGCAAGACGGAAAGACCCCGUGAACCUUUACUAUAGCUUUACACUGAACGUUGAGUUCGUCUGUGUAGGAUAGGUGGGAGGCUAUGAAACUGUGGCGCUAGCUGCAGUGGAGCCAUCCUUGAAAUACCACCCUGUCGUGCUUGACGUUCUAACCUAGAUCCGUUAUCCGGAUCGGGGACCGUGUAUGGUGGGUAGUUUGACUGGGGCGGUCUCCUCCUAAAGAGUAACGGAGGAGCACGAAGGUACGCUCAGCGCGGUCGGACAUCGCGCACUGUGUGCAAAGGCAUAAGCGUGCUUGACUGCAAGAUCGACGGAUCAAGCAGGUACGAAAGUAGGUCUUAGUGAUCCGGUGGUUCUGUAUGGAAGGGCCAUCGCUCAACGGAUAAAAGGUACUCCGGGGAUAACAGGCUGAUACCGCCCAAGAGUUCAUAUCGACGGCGGUGUUUGGCACCUCGAUGUCGGCUCAUCACAUCCUGGGGCUGUAGUCGGUCCCAAGGGUAUGGCUGUUCGCCAUUUAAAGUGGUACGCGAGCUGGGUUCAGAACGUCGUGAGACAGUUCGGUCCCUAUCUGCCAUGGGCGUUGGAAGUUUGAGAGGGGCUGCUCCUAGUACGAGAGGACCGGAGUGGACGAACCUCUGGUGUUCCGGUUGUCACGCCAGUGGCAUUGCCGGGUAGCUAUGUUCGGAAGCGAUAACCGCUGAAAGCAUCUAAGCGGGAAGCGCGCCUCAAGAUGAGACUUCCCGGGGCACAAGCCCCCUAAAGGAACCAUGUAGACUACGUGGUUGAUAGGUCAGGUGUGU
rnacentral:rRNA from 1 species